GCGCGAUUAGCUCAGCGGAAGAGCGCUACCUUGACACGGUAGAGGUCACUGGUUCGAUCCCAGUAUCGCGCA
rnacentral:tRNA from 1 species